UGGUGGCGAUGGCGGAGGGGUUCCACGCGUACCCAUCCCGAACACGACCGUUAAGCCCUCCAGCGCCGAUGGUACUUGGACCGCAGGGUCCUGGGAGAGUAGGACGUUGCCA
rnacentral:rRNA from 1 species